rnacentral:rRNA from 1 species
CCUACGGGAGGCAGCAGUGAGGAAUAUUGCGCAAUGGGGGAAACCCUGACGCAGCCACGCCGCGUGCAGGAAGAAGGUCCUAUGGAUCGUAAACUGCUUUUAUUCGGGACGAAUGGGAAGGUUUCGACCUUGAGUGACGGUACCGAUUGAAUAAGCACCGGCUAACUCCGUGCCAGCAGCCGCGGUAAU